GGGUGCGAGCGUUGUCCGGAAUUACUGGGCGUAAAGAGCUCGUAGGUGGUUUGUCGCGUUGUUCGUGAAAACUCACAGCUUAACUGUGGGCGUGCGGGCGAUACGGGCAGACUAGAGUACUGCAGGGGAGACUGGAAUUCCUGGUGUAGCGGUGGAAUGCGCAGAUAUCAGGAGGAACACCGGUGGCGAAGGCGGGUCUCUGGGCAGUAACUGACGCUGAGGAGCGAAAGCGUGGGGAGCGAACAGGAUUAGAUACCCUGGUAGUCCACGCCGUAAACGGUGGGUACUAGGUGUGGGUUCCUUCCUUGGGAUCCGUGCCGUAGCUAACGCAUUAAGCACCCCGCCUGGGGAGUACGGCCGCAAGGCUAAAACUCAAAGGAAUUGACGGGGGCCCGCACAAGCGGCGGAGCAUGUGGAUUAAUUCGAUGCAACGCGAAGAACCUUACCUGGGUUUGACAUGCACAGGACGCCGGCAGAGAUGUCGGUUCCCUUGUGGCCCUGUGUGCAGGUGGUGCAUGGCUGUCG
rnacentral:rRNA from 1 species